GCCAGUCGUGGUUGCUUAAUGUAUGCUGCAACAAGUUUGUUUGGUUGUGUGUCGUUUUGUUUUGUUGAUGGAGGAAAGAUAUUGAAAAGAUGUAUUUUAGCUCUGCACCUUGUGCCUUCCCACAACUGUGACAGCCAAUCAACCAAUUCAAACAAAAUCUGUUGAUUGAUUACAUUUAUAUUGAAUAUCUAGCCAAAAACAUGUAUACAGUAUAUAUUGCAAUGGGAAGCUUCUUUAUUAAAUUUUGUUCAUAAGAAUUUCAUUUUAUUUUGUGGCUUUUUUUUGCUAAUCUUUACCCUGCAGGGAACUCCAGAACCUAUCUUUCACCUUCUUCACAGCUUUGCCAUUGAUAAGAAAACCUUUUUACCUACAAAAUGAUGGAAUCAAGCAGGUAUUACAAUGUUCAGUGGGAGAUUACCGCUCACAGAAGAAACCCACCAUCUGUCUGCCGGCCCACAGAAUGGGGGAUGUUUCUCUAUCUCCUUAUGGAAAAUACAAGUACUGUAUAUAAAGCCUGCUCUGUAAGAAAACACACUGCAUGUGUCAAAGUACAGGCCUACUGUAUUAAUAUGUACAUACUAGGAAUCACCAAGAAUAUAUUUAAUGCCUUCUCUUUAUGGAAAACACUAAAACUGUGUAUAAAGCCUGAACUGUGGAUUUCAUGUUGUCUACAUCAAAGGGCAUAAGCCUAAUGUAUUGAUAGUAGUUAUAUGGGGAAUCAUCAAUAACACAUUGAAUGCCUGAUAUGAAAACAAAUGUUGUCUUUGUAUUUCUCAUUUAAAAUGAAAGUGGUUUCACGUUUUAGUCGUUCAACCAUUUAUAUUUUGUUCAACUAUUUAACGGUAUCACCAACCAUGUAAGACGAGUACAGGUGAAAUGGUUUUGGCAAAGAAAAAUCAUCUGCAUCAUCUAAAUACUGUCCAUUGGGGAACAUAAAACAAAGUAUUCAAUUGUAAUUGAAAUGCCAGUAUUGUUGAGUUUUCUCUAAUAAGAAGGAAAAUCCUGAGGACUACAUAUGAGCCUAGACGUGGACUUCACUGUACCUUCCUCUCCAUGACACACAAAAGAACACAUCACUCUAUCCUUUAUGUGAAAGGUUGAAAAGCACUCGUUUGGCUGUAAGUAAAGUUACAAUCCGGAAUCUACAACUUUUUUCUCAAAGU